GCUUACGGCCAUACCACCCUGAACACUCCCGAUCUCGUCUGAUCUCGGCAGCAAACCAAGGUCGGGCCUGGUCAGUACUUGGAUUGGAGACAUCCUGGGAAUACCAGGUGCUGUAAGCU
rnacentral:rRNA from 1 species